rnacentral:rRNA from 1 species
GGACUACUGGGGUAUCUAAUCCCGUUCGCUCCCCUGGCUUUCGCGCCUCAACGUCAGUACGAGUCCAGGACCCUGCUUUCGCCAUGGGCGUUCCGUCCGAUCUCAACGCAUUUCACCGCUCCACCGGACGUUCCAGAUCCCUCUCCUCGCCUCGAGGCCACUCGUAUCGAGGCCCAUUCCCCGGUUGAGCCGGGGGCUUUCAGCUCUCGACGCAGUGACCCGUCUACGCGCCCUUUAAGCCCAAUGAUUCCGAAUAACGUUCGCACGGUUCGUCUUACCGCGGCUGCUGGCAC